rnacentral:lncRNA from 1 species
GAGUACUUUGAUUCUUGAUCCUCGGGUACUAUCUCUUUACUUUUGCCAUAAUGCUCACCACCUAGACAUAAUGCACAAUAAGCCAUUUACUACAUUUGUGCUAAAUUAUUAUAAAACCAAUUCAGGCUUUAUACUAAUGCAUGAAAUGGGAUGUAAAUUGUUCGGAUUAUCGUCUAAACACGAUGUUCUACACAAAUUCAAUUGUGUACCUAAAUAAAAUAGUAUU